rnacentral:rRNA from 1 species
CGCCUUGGGCGGGUGCUAUACAUGCAGUCGAACGAGUUCUCGUUGAUGAUCGGUGCUUGCACCGAGAUUCAACAUGGAACGAGUGGCGGACGGGUGAGUAACACGUGGGUAACCUGCCCUUAAGUGGGGGAUAACAUUUGGAAACAGAUGCUAAUACCGCAUAGAUCCAAGAACCGCAUGGUUCUUGGCUGAAAGAUGGCGUAAGCUAUCGCUUUUGGAUGGACCCGCGGCGUAUUAGCUAGUUGGUGAGGUAAUGGCUCACCAAGGCGAUGAUACGUAGCCGAACUGAGAGGUUGAUCGGCCACAUUGGGACUGAGACACGGCCCAAACUCCUACGGGAGGCAGCAGUAGGGAAUCUUCCACAAUGGACGCAAGUCUGAUGGAGCAACGCCGCGUGAGUGAAGAAGGCUUUCGGGUCGUAAAACUCUGUUGUUGGAGAAGAAUGGUCGGCAGAGUAACUGUUGUCGGCGUGACGGUAUCCAACCAGAAAGCCACGGCUAACUACGUGCCAGCAGCCGCGGUAAUACGUAGGUGGCAAGCGUUAUCCGGAUUUAUUGGGCGUAAAGCGAGCGCAGGCGGUUUUUUAAGUCUGAUGUGAAAGCCCUCGGCUUAACCGAGGAAGCGCAUCGGAAACUGGGAAACUUGAGUGCAGAAGAGGACAGUGGAACUCCAUGUGUAGCGGUGAAAUGCGUAGAUAUAUGGAAGAACACCAGUGGCGAAGGCGGCUGUCUGGUCUGUAACUGACGCUGAGGCUCGAAAGCAUGGGUAGCGAACAGGAUUAGAUACCCUGGUAGUCCAUGCCGUAAACGAUGAAUGCUAGGUGUUGGAGGGUUUCCGCCCUUCAGUGCCGCAGCUAACGCAUUAAGCAUUCCGCCUGGGGAGUACGACCGCAAGGUUGAAACUCAAAGGAAUUGACGGGGGCCCGCACAAGCGGUGGAGCAUGUGGUUUAAUUCGAAGCAACGCGAAGAACCUUACCAGGUCUUGACAUCUUUUGAUCACCUGAGAGAUCAGGUUUCCCCUUCGGGGGCAAAAUGACAGGUGGUGCAUGGUUGUCGUCAGCUCGUGUCGUGAGAUGUUGGGUUAAGUCCCGCAACGAGCGCAACCCUUAUGACUAGUUGCCAGCAUUUAGUUGGGCACUCUAGUAAGACUGCCGGUGACAAACCGGAGGAAGGUGGGGAUGACGUCAAAUCAUCAUGCCCCUUAUGACCUGGGCUACACACGUGCUACAAUGGAUGGUACAACGAGUUGCGAGACCGCGAGGUCAAGCUAAUCUCUUAAAGCCAUUCUCAGUUCGGACUGUAGGCUGCAACUCGCCUACACGAAGUCGGAAUCGCUAGUAAUCGCGGAUCAGCACGCCGCGGUGAAUACGUUCCCGGGCCUUGUACACACCGCCCGUCACACCAUGAGAGUUUGUAACACCCGAAGCCGGUGGCGUAACCCUUUUAGGGAGCGAGCCGUCUAAGGUGACAUGGUGGGU